rnacentral:misc_RNA from 1 species
CAGUGCAAAUCGUUGGGAAAAGAGAUCAUUAAUGGAGGAGAAGCUGAAGAGUGGAACUACUCUCAUCGUUGACCGCUAUUCUUAUUCUGGGGUGGCAUUUUCCUCUGCCAAGGGACUUGAUAUUGAAUGGUGUAAGGCUCCAGAAAUAGGGUUGUUAGCUCCAGAUCUGGUUGUAUAUCUCGACAUAUCUCCAGAGAAAGCUGCUGAAAGAG